rnacentral:misc_RNA from 1 species
GGACUACAGGGGUAUCUAAUCCUGUUUGCUCCCCUAGCUUUCGCGCCUCAGCGUCAGGACUGGUCCAGGCAGCCGCCUUCGCCGCCGGUGUUCCUCCCGAUCUCUACGCAUUUCACCGCUACACCGGGAAUUCCGCUGCCCUCUCCCAGCCUCCAGCCCGACAGUUUCCACGGCCGGCCCCCGGUUAAGCCGGAGGUUUUCACCGCAGACUUGUGCGGGCCGCCUACGCGCCCUUUACGCCCAGUGAUUCCGAACAACGCUCGCCCCCCCCGUAUUACCGCGGCUGCUGGCACG